UAAGGGCAUGGAAAUCAUUGUCCAA
rnacentral:piRNA from 1 species